CCGCGUUUGAAGUGGAGGUUGAGGACAUCUCCCGUUUGUGAAAGGGGUUGCUCAGGUGGCUACCUCCCCUGUCUCUGGUUUCUCUGCUGCGUGUGGUGGUCGCAUUGAGUCGUGGUGCAAAAGCGAGGACUAGGCGUCCGUGACCUAAACCCGAUUGACGGUUGCGUUGGGGCGGAGCGCUCGUUCUCUACUUUCUGUGCUUCAGCGACAUCAUCUGCGGUGG